rnacentral:misc_RNA from 1 species
GAAAUGCGAAAAGCAAUGCGAAUUGCAGAAUUCCGCGAGUCAUCAGAUCUUCGAACGCAUCUGGCGCCGAAGGGAUAUCCCUUCGGCAUGUUUGCUUCAGUGUGUUAUUGAGACUCAUAUAUCUCAUUGUGAUUGACAGACUCAACUUCGGUUGAUGAUGUCUCUCAUGAAAUUAGUGCUGUGCGAACCGCACUGAUGCAGUAGUCAGUCCUCGUGAUUGAUACUCAUCGGUCGGGAUCGGUAUAACAGUACCAAUCUUUCAAUCAUCAUACACGCAUCUGAGGCAAGCAAGAUAACCCGCUGAACUUAA